ACAAACCUCGUAAGUGACGUCACUCGCCGAGUGGCUGCACUUCAACUUGAUCAUCAAAUGUGGAGCAAAACGCUCUGUGAGCAACAGGGGCCAGACUUUGAUCUUAGCAAAAAAGAAGUAAAUGAAUACAAACUGGUGGAAACCCACACACCAAGAUGCUGUAAAGAGCUCUGGGUGGGACCUCACCCUAUGAAGAGGGCACACGAGGGCCUUUGCUGUGACCUGUGGCCACGACUGCCGCUCUUCCGUGUUCCCAGCAAGGGAGGGGAAGAGGAUGACGUUGUAAGAUGCUGUAUUCUCGAGAGAUGAGGAUGUUCUCAUCUUCGGUCCACGUUCUCUACUGAAGACAGCAAGAUGCCCCAGACAGUGAUUGUGUCCCGAGGGACUAACUAAAGGGCGGAAAGAACCCAGUAAGUGCCAGUGGGGAAGCAGCGAAUGGGAGUUAGUCAUGACUGAGAGCUUUUGACGCCAAAGCCUGGCCAGGCUGUUGGACUUGGGGCUUCCCUGGGCAGAAACACAGGUUGAGUUGGAACUUUAGUCACUGACAAGGUGUUCAAUAUUUUUGCCCUUAUUUGAGUGUUUUUUUUUUUUUUUCAAAAUGCUGAUCAUAGCUUAGCUAUAACAGAUACGACUUGGUGAUGGUUUGAGAAUAAAAUAUCCCCCAGCUUUA